rnacentral:rRNA from 1 species
CCUACGGGAGGCAGCAGUGAGGAAUAUUGGUCAAUGGCCGGAAGGCUGAACCAGCCAAGCCGCGUGAAGGACGAAGGUGCCAAGCAUUGUAAACUUCUUUUGUCACGGGACAAAAUCAGGCUCGAGAGCCUGACCGAGGGUACUUGAAGAAAAAGCAUCGGCUAACUCCGUGCCAGCAGCCGCGGUAAUACGGAGGAUGCGAGCGUUAUCCGGAAUUAUUGGGUUUAAGGGUGGCGUAGGCGGUCUGUUAAGUCAGCGGUAAAAGCCCGGGGCUCAACCCCGGCGAGCCGAUGAAACUGGCAGUCUUGAGAUGUCGAGAGGUAUGCGGAAUGCGCGGUGUAGCGGUGAAAUGCUUAGAUAUUGCGCAGAACACCGAUUGCGAAGGCAGCAUACCGGCGGCGAUCUGACGCUGAGGCACGAAAGCGUGGGUAUCGAACAGGAUUAGAUACCCGGGUAGUC